UGGGGAAUAUUGGACAAUGGGCGAAAGCCUGAUCCAGCCAUGCCGCGUGUGUGACGAAGGUCUUCGGAUUGUAAAGCUCUUUAAGUUGGGAGGAAGGGCAGUAAGCGAAUACCUUGCUGUUUUGACGUUACCGACAGAAUAAGCACCGGCUAACUUUGUGCCAGCAGCCGCGGUAAUACAGAGGGUGCAAGCGUUAAUCGGAAUUACUGGGCGUAAAGCGCGCGUAGGUGGUUCGUUAAGUUGAAUGUGAAAGCCCCGGGCUCAACCUGGGAACUGCAUCCAAAACUGGCGAGCUAGAGUAGGGCAGAGGAUGGUGGAAUUUCCUGUGUAGCGGUGAAAUGCGUAGAUAUAGGAAGGAACACCAGUGGCGAAGGAGACCACCUGGGCUCAUACUGACACUGAGGUGCGAAAGCGUGGGGAGCAAACAGG
rnacentral:rRNA from 1 species